CCUACGGGAGGCAGCAGUAGGGAAUAUUGCUCAAUGGGGGAAACCCUGAAGCAGCAACGCCGCGUGAAGGAUGAAGGUUUUCGGGUUGUAAACCUCUUUUGUUAGAGAAGAUAAUGACGGUAUCUAACGAAUAAGCACCGGCUAACUCCGUGCCAGCAGCCGCGGUAAUACGGAGGGGGCAAGCGUUAAUCGGAAUCACUGGGCGGAAAGAGUGCGUAGGCGGGUUAACAAGUCAGAUGUGAAAUGCUAUAGGUUAACCCUAGAACUGCAUUUGAAACUGGUAAUCUAGAGUAUAGGAGAGGUAGGUGGAAUUCUUGGUGUAGGGGUGAAAUCCGUAGAGAUCAAGAGGAAUACUCAUUGCGAAGGCGACCCGCUGGACUGUAACUGACGCUGAGGCGCGAAAGCGUGGGGAGCAAACAGGAUUAGAUACCCCUGUAGUC
rnacentral:rRNA from 1 species